CAGCCGCCGCGGGAAAACGGGGGGGGCAAGUGUUAUUCGGAAUGACUGGGCGUAAAGGGCACGUAGGCGGUGAAAAGGGUGGAAAGUGAAAGUCGCCAAAACACUGGCGGGGUGCUUUCUUGACCAUUUCACUUGAGUGAGAUAGGGGAGAGUGGAAUUUCGUGUGGAGGGAUCAAAUCCUAAGAUAUACGAAGGAACGCCAACCGCGAAGGCAGCUCUCUGGGUCCCCACUGACGCUGGGGUGCGAAAGCAUGGGGAGCAAACAGGAUCAGAUACCCCUGUAGUCCCUGUCUCUUAUACA
rnacentral:rRNA from 1 species